CUGUGAUGCGAGUGGUUCGCCGCUCGUGACUCUGCGAGAAGUCCAUUGAACCUUAUCAUUUAGAGGAAGGAGAAGUCGUAACAAGGUUUCCGUAGGUGAACCUGCGGAAGGAUCAUUGUCGAGACCGAAACUUAUCGAGCGAUUCUGAGAACCUGUGAACGAGCGACGGCGUCAGCCAUCGCACAAUUACCGUCUCGGUCGUGGGCCUCUCAUAAAGGUGCCGACGAUGAGAGAUGUACAAAACUCAAACCGGCGCAGCUACGCGCCAAGGGAAUACAAAUAUACACGGACCCGGAUCGGGUUCGAUGGCUCGGAGUGCAUUCGCACCCCGCACGGAUAAAACGACUCUCGGCAAUGGAUAUCUCGGCUCUCGCAUCGAUGAAGAGCGCAGCGAAAUGCGAUACGUGGUGCGAAUUGCAGAAUCCCGCGAACCAUCGAGAAUUUGAACGCAAGUUGCGCCCGAGGCCAUUCGGCUAAGGGCACGUCCGCCUGGGCGUCAAGCGUUACAUCGCUUCGUGCCAGCCCCAUCCCACCCUUAGGGUGUGAAUGCGGGAUGGUCGAAUGUGCAGAGUGGCUCGUCAUGCCCGACCCGCGGGCACGACGGGCUUAAGAGCGGGUGAUCGGCUCGUUGGCCACGAACAACAAGGGGUGGAUGAAAAUUGUGCCUGUGUUGUAUCGUCCCGGCCUGAGAAGAGAUUAUACCUAACGAAUGAUCCCAACCCAAGCAUCUGUCCACGGACAUCCGCUUGGAAUGCGACCCCAGGAUGGGCGAGGCCACCCGCUGAGUUUAAGCAUAUCAAUAAGCGGAGGAGAAGAAACUUACAAGGAUUCC
rnacentral:rRNA from 1 species